rnacentral:lncRNA from 1 species
GGUGAAUCACUAAAACAACACAAAAAUACACUACGGAAAAAUCAGGAACAGCACGUAAGAAACCUUCUGCACAGACAUCAGCCGUUUUUUUAAGCCUGGAUAAUACUUGCCAGCCUGCCAGUAUCGGACUGUUUUCUCCACUACAACGCCGGAUUCCUGCCGUAAGCCCUGGACCAUUAUUCCUGAUCAUCACAGCUAGCUAGCUAGCUGCCACCAAGUGACCCAGCCCCGAAGCUAGCUCUGAGCCAGGCCCACCUCCCGGCCUACUCAGUGAUCACUCGGCUACACAGCUGAUGCCUCCCGGACUCUACCCCAACACGGCUAGAAUCCACUACUCCACCGGAUCCUUGCCAUAAGCUCUGGACCUUUGCAUCGGAUCAUCGCUGCUAGUUAGCUGCUACCGAGUGGCUAUAGUGGCUAACGCCCCUUCCCCGAAGCUAGCACCAGUUAGCCGCGAGCCAGGCGCAUCUCCCGGCUAGCAAACUAAAUUACUACAACUACAAUACCCCUUUCGCCAUCUGGCCUGGAUCCUUUGUCGACACGGUGCCCCGCCGUACCACCACGACUGGUCUGCCGACGGAACUCCAUCCGCUGGUCCCUCAACCGGCCUUUGCCGGACGUCGGAGCAGACGCUUCUACUAACCCCGGCCUGCUAACUUUAAACGCUGUGUCUCCCGCUUGCUAGCAUAGUAACGACUACCCUGCGGCUUCUCUGUUCCAUCUAUUGCUGUUCACUGGACCCUAUGAUUACUUGGCUACAUAGCUGAUGCCUACUGGACUGUUCAUUAAUCACGCACACUCCGCCAACCCUGAUGUCCUUGCCGUGUCUGAAUCCUGGCUUAGGAAGGCCACCAAAAAUUCUGAGAUUUCCAUACCCAACUACAACAUUUUCAGUCAAGAUAGAACUGCCAAAGGGGAGGAGUUGCAAUCUAUUCCAGAGAUAGCCUGCAAAGUUCUGUCAUACUUUCCAGGUCUAUGUCCAAACAGUUUGAGCUUCUAAUUUAAAAAAAUGAAACUCUCCAGUCUCUCACUGUUGCUGCCUGUUAUAGACCUCCCUCUGCUCCCAGCUGUGCCGUGGACACCAUAUGUGAAUUGAUUGACCCCCAUCUAUCUUCAGAGUUUGUUCUGUUAGGUGACCUAAACUGGGAUAUGGCUUAACACCCCGGCAGUCCUACAAUCUAAGCUAGAUGCCCUCAAUCUCACACAAAGUAUCAAGGAACCCACCAGGAACAACCCUAAAUCCGUAAACAUGGGCACCCUCAUAAAUAUUAUCCUGACCAACUUGCCCUCCAAACCACUCUACUGUUUUCAAUCAGGAUCUCAGCAAUCACUGCCUCAUUGCCUGCAUCUGCUAUGAGUCCGUGGUCAAACGACCACCCCUCAUCAUUGUCAAACGCUCCCUGAAACACUUGUGCAAGCAGGCCUUUUAAUCGACCUGGCCCGGGUAUCCUGGAAGGAUAUUGACCUCAUCCUGUCAGUCGAGGAUGCCUGGUCGUUCUUUAAAAGUAAUUUCCUCACCAUCUUAAAUAAGCAUGCCCCUUUCAAAAAAUGUAGAACUAAGAACAGAUAUAGCCCUUGGUUCACUCCAGACCUGACUGCCCUCGACCAGCACAAAAACAUCCUGUGGCGGACUGCUCUAGCAUCGAAUAGUCCCCAUGAUAUGCAACUUUUCAGGAAAGCCAGAUACCAAUACAUGCAGUCAGUCAGGAAAGCAAAGACCAGCUUUUUCAAACAGAAAUUUGCAUCCUGUAGCUCUAACUCCAAAAGGUUUUGCGACACUUUAAAGUCCAUGGAGAAUAAGAGCACCUCCUCCCAGCUGCCCACUGCACUGAGGCUAGGAAACACUGUCACCACCGAUAAAUUUACGUUAAUCGAUCAUUUCAAUAAGCAUUUUUCUACGGCUGGCCAUGCUUCCAUCUGGCUACCCCUACCUCGGGCCAACAUCUCAGCACCCCCUGCAGCAACUUGCCCAAACCCCCACCCCUGCUUCUUCACCCAAAUCCAGAAAAAACUGCAAAAGCUGGAUCCCUAUAAAUCAGCUGGGCUAGACAAUCUGGACCCUCUCUUUCUAAAAUUAUCCGCCAAAAUUGUUGCAACCCCUAUUACUAGCCUAUUCAACCUCUCUUUCGUAUCGUCUGAGAUCCCCAAAGAUUGGAAAGCUGCCGUGGUCACCCCCCUCUUCAAAGGGGAAGACACUCUAGACCCAAACUGUUAUAGACCUAUAUCCAUCCUGCCCUGCCUUUCUAAAAUCUUUGAAAGCCAAGUUAAUAAACAGAUCACCGACCAUUUCGAAUCCCACCGUACCUUCUCACUAUGCAAUCUGGUUUCCGAGCUGGUCAUGGGUGCACCUCAGCCACGCUCAAAGUCCUAAAUGGUAUCAUAACUGUCACGGCUCCUCCUCUGCAGUGCAGGGGUGGUUCCCCCUGCAGGCAGAGGAGGGUCGUUAGUGAUUGCAGCUGGUGUGAUUGGAGCCACCUGGGCUCAGGGUAUUUAACCAAGUGCUCCACUAACCUCUCUCUGGUCUGGCUGGUCUGGCUC